UACGUAGGGGGCAAGCGUUGUCCGGAAUCAUUGGGCGUAAAGCGCGUGUAGGCGGCCCGGUAAGUCCGCUGUGAAAGUCCAGGGCUCAACCCUGGGAUGCCGGUGGAUACUGUCGGACUAGAGUGCGGAAGAGGCGAGUGGAAUUCCUGGUGUAGCGGUGAAAUGCGCAGAUAUCAGGAGGAACACCAAUUGCGAAGGCAGCUCGCUGGGACGUUACUGACGCUGAGACGCGAAAGCGUGGGGAGCAAACAGG
rnacentral:rRNA from 1 species